rnacentral:rRNA from 1 species
GUCGAGCGGAUGAAGGGAGCUUGCUCCUGGAUUCAGCGGCGGACGGGUGAGUAAUGCCUAGGAAUCUGCCUGGUAGUGGGGGAUAACGUCCGGAAACGGGCGCUAAUACCGCAUACGUCCUGAGGGAGAAAGUGGGGGAUCUUCGGACCUCACGCUAUCAGAUGAGCCUAGGUCGGAUUAGCUAGUUGGUGGGGUAAAGGCCUACCAAGGCGACGAUCCGUAACUGGUCUGAGAGGAUGAUCAGUCACACUGGAACUGAGACACGGUCCAGACUCCUACGGGAGGCAGCAGUGGGGAAUAUUGGACAAUGGGCGAAAGCCUGAUCCAGCCAUGCCGCGUGUGUGAAGAAGGUCUUCGGAUUGUAAAGCACUUUAAGUUGGGAGGAAGGGCAGUAAGUUAAUACCUUGCUGUUUUGACGUUACCAACAGAAUAAGCACCGGCUAACUUCGUGCCAGCAGCCGCGGUAAUACGAAGGGUGCAAGCGUUAAUCGGAAUUACUGGGCGUAAAGCGCGCGUAGGUGGUUCAGCAAGUUGGAUGUGAAAUCCCCGGGCUCAACCUGGGAACUGCAUCCAAAACUACUGAGCUAGAGUACGGUAGAGGGUGGUGGAAUUUCCUGUGUAGCGGUGAAAUGCGUAGAUAUAGGAAGGAACACCAGUGGCGAAGGCGACCACCUGGACUGAUACUGACACUGACGUGCGAAAGCGUGGGGAGCAAACAGGAUUAGAUACCCUGGUAGUCCACGCCGUAAACGAUGUCGACUAGCCGUUGGGAUCCUUGAGAUCUUAGUGGCGCAGCUAACGCGAUAAGUCGACCGCCUGGGGAGUACGGCCGCAAGGUUAAAAACUCAAAUGAAUUGACGGGGGGCCCGCACAAGCGGUGG